rnacentral:tRNA from 1 species
GGCGGGCUCGCCACGUGUGGUGGCAGCGGUCUGCAAAACCGCAAACCGUGGGUUGGAUUCCCGCCCCCGCCU